GAGUUUGAUCAUGGCUCAGAUUGAACGCUGGCGGCAUGCCUUACACAUGCAAGUCGAACGGCAGCACGGGAGCUUGCUCCUGGUGGCGAGUGGCGAACGGGUGAGUAAUGCAUCGGAACGUAUCCUGGAGUGGGGAAUAACGUAGCGAAAGUUACGCUAAUACCGCAUAUUCUGUGAGCAGGAAAGCGGGGGACCUUCGGGCCUCGCGCUCUUGGAGCGGCCGAUGUCGGAUUAGCUAGUUGGUGAGGUAAAGGCUCACCAAGGCGACGAUCCGUAGCAGGUCUGAGAGGAUGAUCUGCCACACUGGAACUGAGACACGGUCCAGACUCCUACGGGAGGCAGCAGUGGGGAAUUUUGGACAAGUGGGGGCAACCCUGAUCCAGCCAUGCCGCGUGAGUGAAGAAGGCCUCGGUUGUAAG
rnacentral:rRNA from 1 species